ACGGAACGGUUGUAGCAUGGACACAAGAUAUAGUCAUUGAUCUCGCAACCUUUCUCCCCAUUGGAUAUCCUGUGAUCAAAGUUUAGUUGAUUACUUUUGUGGAGGGCGGUGAUAUCAUCUUCGCCUCCACAACUCUUCGCGUCCCCUCUAUUGAUUUGAAGUUGCUACAUGCAAAGAAGCUGCGCGAGCGACCAAAUUUUGGAGACUUACAUCCCUUCACGAGCUUUUACUGUCCACUGGGUAUGUUUAUUUUAGUUUUGGUCUGGAAGGUCUAGCUAGACAUGGUUUUUCAACUCAAUCUAGCUACUUCUAUCUACUAUGUCACCUCGUCUUGAUCAAUUCUAUGGUUGAAUUUAGACCAAUGCACUAAAACUUUUGGAACAAUGCUAACAAAACUAUAACAUCAUAGAAUGGCAAUCCGGGACAAGCCUUUUGGCAGGGGAUACAAUAGUUGCAACGCGUCGCUAUGUGAAGUAUUGGGCAGAUCCAAAUGGUAAAUCUCAUCAAUAAGAAGGAAGAUCACAUGGAGACAAUUAGGGUUUAGGGUCUAUUUUAAUAUUAUGUGCUUUGGUGAUGCUUAGUUGAUUUCUCAUGCUAUUGUUGGCUUUUGUUAGUAUGUUUGAUCCAGUUCAAAAAAUUCUUCAUGCCAUCCGCGUGAAUUUGUGUGAACUUGCAAUGUACUUUUUUGUUUCUUACUGAUGUUUUAUGGUGUUUUGGGUUCUACGUUAUUUGCCUUCGUAAAUAUUUUCCUUCAUAUUUAUAGCUACUGUUCAUAUCUUGCCGAGCUGAUGCUUCUUUUCUUUUUGGAAGGUAAGUAUUAUUCAUUGUACUCCCUUUGGUAGGCUAAAUAGCCUCCCAAACAUUCUUACAUUUAGGAACAUAGGGAGUAUAUUAUACGGUAGUUGUGGUGGUAGAUUGCUGUGAUCUGUCCAUUCACUUAGGUCUGCCAGUUGUAUGUUCUGUAGCCUUCAAGUGUUUGUUUUAAGUUAGGUAAUUUAAUUGAGGAAACUACAAGACAACAUUUUACUAAGUAAUAUAUUCAUUUCUUGGCAUGGUGACACCUUCAGUUUAGUCAUGUACUGAGAAUUGACAUGGUAUGCUACGUGAGCUGCUUUUCCGCAAGAAGGUAAUAAUUUCAAUUUUCAAGUGCUAACCCUGUAAAAUUUGUGCCUACAUAGUAAGUUUUUUUGCCCUUGAGACUCAUAGUAAGGAGGAUUCAGGCUUGUGCGGCACCUUAUCCUAAUAAAAAAAUAUUCAUAUAUGAAGCACCAGCUUCAUUCGGUUCUCUUGCGAAUUAUCUUUGUACAGAGUGUUUGAAUGGGGGCUACCUUUUUAGAACAUUCAAAUUCCUUUUUUUGUUUUGCAAUUAUGUGUAUAAAAAAUGUGCAUUGAAUAACUGUAGUAGACUUACAUUUCCAUCAGGAUUCUUAUUAAUCACUUGAACGACCUAUAUAUUGAUCCAUGACAGCUUAUCCGGAGUUGAGUGAGGUGAAUUUACUUUUAUGUUCCAUGCGCAUUUCUUCCUGGCAUGGUAAAUAUUGAUAGAGGCAUUGAUUAGAGAAAAACUCAAAUGACAAAAGCUAAUUCAAUUUUUUUUUCAGAUUUGGAUCUGGCCUGGAGAAUGUUAAUUGCAUACUGCAAGGGUAAUACUUGAGAAGAGCUUGGCAUGCUAUUGAGAAAUUUGUAAUAUUUUGCACUCUUGCUGAAGUCUCCAUGGUAAGAGGGCCCUCAGUUAUCUUACUCAUGCAUUGAUGAAUGUUCUCAUGCUUUUGGUCUGACGUUUAGUUUGAAGAAUACUACUCCCUCCGAUCCUAAAUUCUUGUCGUUGUACUAUUUAAUUGUCUGCUUGAAAUUUCUAGCCAUCUCGGAGCAUUUGAUUGAACCUGAUCAUUAUCCAAUGACCAUACUAUAUCCUCCUUCUGGUAAUUAAUAACACUUCAAUUUUCUACUGUCUAUAAGAAGGGCAUGUGGAACCUAAUUGUUUCAGUGCUCGUGUCCGUCUGGGAAUGUGUUUCCAGGGUUUUAGGGGUAGAUUUUAGUUAGUCUGUUAAAUUGUUUCAGUGCUUUUGUCUGUCUGGAAAUGUGUUUCCAGGGUUUUAGGGGUAGAUUUUAGUUAGUUUCUUAACUUGAAAAAAGUUGGUGGCUAAAAUUUUAUAUUUUUAUUAUCUAAUGUGUCAUUUCAAUCAAUUGACUUGACUCAGUUAAUCUUGCACAGGUGCCUUCACUUACAUAUAUCAUUUAGUGUAUAUGAGUGGAUAAACUGUGAUCUUUCCAGAUAUAGAACUUCAGGUAGCUGAUGCUAGAGGCUGGCCAUCGCCUGUACGAGAAAGGGUAGAGGUGAUAUUUUUGUCAUAGAAAAAUCUGCUCUAGGCCAUCGCCUGUACGAGAAAAGAUUCUAAAACAGGUUUGGUUCUGUUCGUGUUUAUGUUUUUGUUUUUUCUCCGAAAUGUCUGUACAUUUAGCUGUCUUAAGUCAAACUUUGUCAAUUUUCAUAUUGAUUUGGUUUGGUGUUAUAUAUGUUGAUAUUUUUUCUCUAUGAACUUGAUCAAAGCUAACAAAGUUUGACUUGGGGCAAUCUCAAAUAUAUGGAGAGCUUGCAAGGAACAACUAAUGACAUCUUUUGAUCUUUUUGUAUCCUGGCGUCACUGGUUACUCUGCGAAUCCUACCUGUAGAGGAGACAGAGAGACAGACAAGAGUCGAUGACCGGCGAGAAGCAGUCAUGCGGGUGGCAUCAUGCUCAUGCCGCUGGAGGAUGGUGGGCUUGGGCUCGCUGGCUUUGACAGGUUUAACCUCCUCCACCUGUGGUCGCUGAAGAUGGGUCUUGGCGGAGCUGCAGGGUCGGAAAGAAGUAGGGUUAUCAAGCUCCAGAUGCUCUCCAUUAGUGACCCGGGAUACUCAUUGGCAACUUUGAUCGGAUUUGCCAAGGGUUGCACUUCCAUUAUCAUUUUCGUGAACAAAUGUUGGUGUUUUCAUGGUUGAUCUCUGAUCGGAGCGGGCGAAAAAGGUGCUCCGGUGGGGUAACUUCCACAAUAUCUUUCCUUACACGAGCUUCUGCACUCCUCCAGGUCUUGCUAGCGGCAGAUUGCCAUCUCUAGCGACGACGGAGUGAUCUGCUACUGACCCGCUUGAUGAUAGUACCUGACAAUUGGGCAAACUUACCGUGUCGUUCUGUUGUUGCUACCCUCCAACAGAAGUAGUGUUUUCGUUUUUUGUUUCCCUUAGGAAGUUUAAGUAAGAACGUUGUUAGUCAUCAUGACCAAGUAAGGUUCUUGUCGAAUUCUCCGCGAUCAUAAGUCGCAAAGUACAUUGCAGCAUAAUAUUGUUCCUUUCGUACUUAAUUGGUGUAUUGUUCCUUUCGUACUUGCUGUAACCACUGUGUCUGUAUGUUUGUCUGUCAAUCCUGAAAAAUGGACCAUUGUGGACUUGUGGUCAUCAUUACGUCGAAUUUGUUGUUAUCCUGACUUCA